UACGACAAUAUCCCUUUGGAACAUCGUUUUUCGUAGGAUCGCCGAAGUUAAGCAAUGUCGAACCUGGUCAGUACCAAGAUGGAUGACUGCUUGGGAAUACCAGGUGCUGUAA